CUUAGAUUUAAUUUAAUAUAUAGUUUAAUUCAGUGGCGAAGCUAGUCAUAGCAACAAGUCAUGCUAUGCACAUUUUUAAUGAUUUGCAUGAUUCAAACUUUAGAAAUAUAUUGUCUUUAACCUAAUUAGGUAUACGUAAAAACGCACAAGUUGUUACAGGUCUGCAAACAAGUUGUCACAAUUCUGUUCACAAGCUGUCGACAAGUUGUGUUCGCAC